rnacentral:rRNA from 1 species
CCUACGGGUGGCUGCAGUGGGGAAUAUUGGACAAUGGGGGCAACCCUGAUCCAGCCAUGCCGCGUGUGUGAAGAAGGCCCUCGGGUUGUAAAGCACUUUCAGUGAGGAAGAACGCCUGGUGGUUAAUACCCAUCAGGAAAGACAUCACUCACAGAAGAAGCACCGGCUAACUCCGUGCCAGCAGCCGCGGUAAUACGGAGGGUGCGAGCGUUAAUCGGAAUUACUGGGCGUAAAGCGCGCGUAGGUGGCUUGAUAAGCCGGUUGUGAAAGCCCCGGGCUCAACCUGGGAACGGCAUCCGGAACUGUCAAGCUAGAGUGCAGGAGAGGAAGGUAGAAUUCCCGGUGUAGCGGUGAAAUGCGUAGAGAUCGGGAGGAAUACCAGUGGCGAAGGCGGCCUUCUGGACUGACACUGACCCUGAGGUGCGAAAGCGUGGGUAGCAAACAGGAUUAGAUACCCGAGUAGUC